rnacentral:antisense_RNA from 1 species
UUGGACAUUCAUAGUUACUUGGGACAACAGUUUUAGCAGGGCUCUCUCCUUUCCUGAUCUCUGUGUUAAGCUGCCUGCCUCAUUUGAUAUCACAUCCAAAUUAUCAGCUGAUUGCUCUGUUGUUUUGGACAAUGCCCUGGGGCAUACCAAAAUGUGUCUGGAAUUGGUGGGUUCUUGGUCUUACUGACUUUAAGAAUAAAGUUGCAGACUUUUGUGGUGAUCCACUCUACCUCAUAUUGUCUUAUAAUGGCCAUCCAGUUUAUCCUAGAGCCCUUGUAUGACACAUGCCUAUUGGAGCAUAGGAAUGCCAAUAUUUUACCUCUUGGGUACUUUCUGUGUAGAAGAUUCAUAACAAGAACAAUGCUUAUUCUGCAAUUCUUUAUAUAAAGCUAAAAGAAAAUGCAUUCUGCCAACAACUAAUGAGCUUGGAAGAGAACUCCAAACCCCAGAAGAGGCCUGUCACAUUAGCUAACACCUUACUUUCCACCCACUGAGACCUUGAGCAGAGACUUCAGUUACACCCCACCCAGACUUCUGACCUGCAAAACUUAAGAAGAAAGCCCAAAGACAAAACCAGAGACAACUGGCUGCUGCAUCGCCCACCCAGUGGCAGUAGUGUGAGCUAUGGACAAAAGAUCUAAGUCUCCGGGACAAAGAGUUGUGCAGCUGCUCAUUUUCCUGUUGACUUCUAAGACUUGGAGAUUUUUGUGAGAUUGGGACCUAUCUACAGAGGUAUCACACUCCUCUUGGUCUAACACCCUCUUGAACUGACAUUCGUGGUGA